AAUAUUGGGAAAUGAUCUGCAAUGUCCUAUGUCAAGUAUUAGGAUACACAAUUCCAAAGAAACCUGAAAUUCUUUAUUUAUGCAACUUUGGUGAUGACACUAUACGUAAAUAUGAUAAAUAUUUGGUACAGGUGAUAUUAUGAUAAGAUAAGAAAUACUUUA